UGGGACACCAGGAAGCCCUGGCCGCCCUGGGAACCCUGGAUCACCUGGCCAGCCAGUGAGUGGGGGUGUCCCUUGGGUUUGUUGCUGCAUGGUGGGCUCUUCCCAUCGCCCUGCCUGCCCAGUCUGCUCCCUGAGCCAGUCUCUGCCUACCCUUUCCAUGUGCCAGGGCGUCUCCGUUGCUGGCAGGGUCACUACUGUCCUCUGUGUGUGUGUCCAGGCCAAGUGUACUGGGCAGGGACUGUCCAUCCCUGCCUUGGCUGGAGCCCAUAUCCCAUUCCAUCCCAUCCCAUCCCAUCCCAUCCCAUCCCAUCCCAUCCCAUCCCAUCCCAUCCCAUCCCAUCCCUGUUUCCCUGGCUGAUAGGGACACAUGUUCAUCUCCUGAGCUGUUAUUUUCCAGGGCACCCAGGGCAUCCCUGGCCCCCGAGGGGAUCCUGGGACACGGGGGCCAAUGGGGCUUUCUGGCCCAAAGGGGGAAAAAGGCGAGCCGGGAGAGCCCAGGGUGAUUGUGGAUGGAGGACAAGGGCUGCCAGGCCGGAAAGGGGAGCCAGGCACACCGGUAGGUGUGAGGGCAGCAGUGCCAAGGGGUCUUUGCCAGCAUCCCCAGCCUGUGCUGCAACCCAAGAUAAUGGAGUAUCUCUGUCCUCCAGGGCAGCCCUGGUCCCCCUGGGAGCCCUGGCCCACGGGGGCCAUUUGGUGAUCCAGGCCCCCCCGGUCCACUUGGACCCAUGGGGCCAGCAGGACCUCCGGGAGAGUUUGUGAAGGUACAUUCCCUCCGGUGCUGCGCGGGGAC
rnacentral:lncRNA from 1 species